AUUGAACGCUGGCGGCAGGCUUAACACAUGCAAGUCGAACGAUGAUUAUCUAGCUUGCUAGAUAUGAUUAGUGGCGGACGGGUGAGUAACAUUUAGGAAUCUGCCUAGUAGUGGGGGAUAGCUCGGGGAAACUCGAAUUAAUACCGCAUACGACCUACGGGUGAAAGGGGGCGCAAGCUCUUGCUAUUAGAUGAGCCUAAAUCAGAUUAGCUAGUUGGUGGGGUAAAGGCCCACCAAGGCGACGAUCUGUAACUGGUCUGAGAGGAUGAUCAGUCACACCGGAACUGAGACACGGUCCGGACUCCUACGGGAGGCAGCAGUGGGGAAUAUUGGACAAUGGGGGCAACCCUGAUCCAGCCAUGCCGCGUGUGUGAAGAAGGCCUUUUGGUUGUAAAGCACUUUAAGCAGGGAGGAGAGGCUAAUGGUUAAUACCCAUUAGAUUAGACGUUACCUGCAGAAUAAGCACCGGCUAACUCUGUGCCAGCAGCCGCGGUAAUACAGAGGGUGCGAGCGUUAAUCGGAAUUACUGGGCGUAAAGCGAGUGUAGGUGGCUCAUUAAGUCACAUGUGAAAUCCCCGGGCUUAACCUGGGAACUGCAUGUGAUACUGGUGGUGCUAGAAUAUGUGAGAGGGAAGUAGAAUUCCAGGUGUAGCGGUGAAAUGCGUAGAGAUCUGGAGGAAUACCGAUGGCGAAGGCAGCUUCCUGGCAUAAUAUUGACACUGAGAUUCGAAAGCGUGGGUAGCAAACAGGAUUAGAUACCCUGGUAGUCCACGCCGUAAACGAUGUCUACUAGCCGUUGGGGUCCUUGAGACUUUAGUGGCGCAGUUAACGCGAUAAGUAGACCGCCUGGGGAGUACGGCCGCAAGGUUAAAACUCAAAUGAAUUGACGGGGGCCCGCACAAGCGGUGGAGCAUGUGGUUUAAUUCGAUGCAACGCGAAGAACCUUACCUGGUCUUGACAUAGUGAGAAUCCUGCAGAGAUGCGGGAGUGCCUUCGGGAAUUCACAUACAGGUGCUGCAUGGCUGUCGUCAGCUCGUGCCGUGAGAUGUUGGGUUAAGUCCCGCAACGAGCGCAACCCUUUUCCUUAUUUGCCAGCGGGUUAAGCCGGGAACUUUAAGGAUACUGCCAGUGACAAACUGGAGGAAGGCGGGGACGACGUCAAGUCAUCAUGGCCCUUACGACCAGGGCUACACACGUGCUACAAUGGUAGGUACAGAGGGUUGCUACACAGCGAUGUGAUGCUAAUCUCAAAAAGCCUAUCGUAGUCCGGAUUGGAGUCUGCAACUCGACUCCAUGAAGUCGGAAUCGCUAGUAAUAGCAGAUCAGAAUGCUGCGGUGAAUAAGUUCCCGGGCGU
rnacentral:rRNA from 1 species